rnacentral:rRNA from 1 species
ACUCCUACGGGAGGCAGCAGUAGGGAAUCUUCCACAAUGGGCGCAAGCCUGAUGGAGCAACACCGCGUGAGUGAAGAGGGGUUUCGGCUCGUAAAGCUCUGUUGUUAAAGAAGAACACGUAUGAGAGUAACUGUUCAUACGUUGACGGUAUUUAACCAGAAAGUCACGGCUAACUACGUGCCAGCAGCCGCGGUAAUACGUAGGUGGCAAGCGUUAUCCGGAUUUAUUGGGCGUAAAGAGAGUGCAGGCGGUUUUCUAAGUCUGAUGUGAAAGCCUUCGGCUUAACCGGAGAAGUGCAUCGGAAACUGGAUAACUUGAGUGCAGAAGAGGGUAGUGGAACUCCAUGUGUAGCGGUGGAAUGCGUAGAUAUAUGGAAGAACACCAGUGGCGAAGGCGGCUACCUGGUCUGCAACUGACGCUGAGACUCGAAAGCAUGGUAGCGAACAGGAUUAGAUACCCUGUAGGAUAGCG